rfam:Tupaia belangeri cont1.273059, whole genome shotgun sequence.
GCUUUAAAAGAAAACCUGGAGUAAAGAUGAGAAAAUGCUUUGUGUGGAACAUUAAACAUAAAACAGAGAAAAAAAUCAAACAGGAUGUUCUGUGGUAACAAACGAAACACAGUUAUUUUUCAAGGAACAUGAAUUAACUACUCCAUGGCAAGUUGUACUUUCUUGGUGAAUUAUGUUGCUCUCUAAGAACAGGGUUGGAAAGAACUGAUUAAAUACCAUCGAAACCAAAAUUAG